rnacentral:sRNA from 1 species
AUCUUAUUUUUACCAUCCCUGUUUCUUAACUUCGCAACACCAAACUUUCAUAAAGAAGUUCCCAUACAUCAAAAUGUAUUAAUUUCAAUUGUUCCUUGACAAUUACUUUCAAUUUACCACAUGCUUAUGGUGGGUAUUUUUCAUUCUCACCCUGCCUCUCUCUCUCACUUCCCCUCACUACCAUUAUCUCUUACACUCUUCAAACAAAGCUCCACUAACUUUUGCCAGUCGGUCACUUAACGGUAUUGGUUUUAGUUUCAGUUUUUAUUCUAUCACUUCUUCAAAAAUUUAUGGCUUUUCUACGCUGAGACAGUCACUAAACGAGCUAGCUUUGUGUUUUUAGAUUUUUUAUGCUUUCCUUUCUUUAAUAAAAGAAAAAAAAACCCAAAACAUAAACUUAAUUUAGUAAAUUUUCAAUUGUUAUUUAUUUAUUAAGAAAAAAAAAACACAAGAGAAACAAUAACAACUGCCUGCUGUCAUUUCGUUAUCGUAUUGUUGUUGUGUUUUAUCGAUAAAUCUUUGUUACAAUCAAUUGUUGUGAUACAGUUUUGGGGUGUGAGCAAGCUGCUGCUGGCUAGUUGGCUGGCGUCUGUUUGUUGUUGGUUGCUGGUUGUUGCUGUCACUGCCAUGCUGACAUUUGUUUAUUGUUGUUGGUUUUUUUGGUUAAGUGGUCUAUCGCUUACACACCUUCUUCAAGUUCAGAGGAUUUAUUUACAACAUCACUUCUCUAUAUUUUUAGCAUAAUUGUCAACACAAUCAAAAUCAAAACAAACAAAAAAAAUGGAAUGAUCACAAUGUGAAUUCAGCCGUUAAAAAUUUAAGUUAAAGGUGCAUUUCCUAGUAAAUAAAUGUCUCAAGCUACAAAACAAAGCAACAGCAACACCAACAGUUUUCCACCCCGCAGCAACAACAAC